AUUGAACGCUGGCGGCAUGCCUUACACAUGCAAGUCGAACGGCAGCGGGGACUUCGGUCCGCCGGCGAGUGGCGAACGGGUGAGUAAUGUAUCGGAACGUACCAUUGAGUGGGGGAUAACGUAGCGAAAGUUACGCUCAUACCGCAUAUUCCCUCCGGAGGAAAGCAGGGGACCGGAAGGCCUUGCGCGCUUUGAGCGGCCGAUUUCAGAUUAGCUAAUUGGUCGGGUAAAAGCUCACCGAGGCGACGAUCUGUAGCGGGUCUGGGAGGAUGAUCCGCCACACUGAAACUGAGACACGGUUCAGACUCCUACGGGAGGCAGCAGUGGGGAAUUUUGGACAAUGGGGGCAACCCUGUUCCAGCCAUGCCGCGUGAGUGAAGAAGGCCUUCGGGUUGUAAAGCUCUUUCGGCCGGGAAAAAAUCGCAUGGGUUAAUACCCUGUGUGGAUGAUGGUACCGGAAUAAGAAGCACCGGCUAACUACGUGCCAGCCGCCGCGGUAA
rnacentral:rRNA from 1 species